AGAGUUUGAUCAUGGCUCAGAACGAACGUUGGCGGCGUGGAUUAGGCAUGCAAGUCGAGCGAAUCCCAGGGGGCAACUCCUGGGGGAAGCGGCGCAAGGGGCAGUAAGGCGUGGGUAACCUACCCCGAGGACCGGCAUAGCCGCCCUAACGGGCGGGUAAUUCCGGGCGCGGUGAGCGCGGGGCAUCCCGUGCUCAUGGAACGAGUUUCGCCUCGGGAGGGGCUCACGUGGUAUUAGCUAGACGGCGGGGUGACGGCCCACCGUGGCCAAGAUGCCUAGCGGGUGUGAGAGCACGACCCGCGCCACUGGCACUGAGACACUGGCCAGACUCCUACGGGAGGCUGCAGUCGAGGAUCUUCGGCAAUGGGCGCAAGCCUGACCGAGCGACGCCGCGUGUGCGAUGAAGGCCUUCGGGUUGUAAAGCACUGUCGAGGGGGAGGAAAGCCCGCAAGGGCCUGACCUAUCCCUGGAGGAAGCACGGGCUAAGUUCGUGCCAGCAGCCGCGGUAAGACGAACCGUGCGAACGUUGUUCGGAUUCACUGGGCUUAAAGGGCGCGUAGGCGGACCAUCAAGUCGGGGGUGAAAUCUUUCAGCCUAACUGGAAAACAGCUCCCGAUACUGACGGCCUGGAGGGAGGUAGGGGCGCGUGGAACUCAGGGUGGAGCGGUGAAAUGCGUAGAUAUCCCGAGGAACGCCGGUGGCGAAAGCGACGCGCUGGACCUUUCCUGACGCUGAGGCGCGAAAGCCAGGGGAGCAAACGGGAUUAGAUACCCCCGUAGUCC
rnacentral:rRNA from 1 species